rnacentral:rRNA from 1 species
AUUGAACGCUGGCGGCAGGCCUAACACAUGCAAGUCGAACGAGUGGCGGACGGGUGAGUAAUGUCUGGGAAACUGCCCGAUGGGGGGGGAUAACUACUGGAAACGGAAGCUAAUAACGCAUACCAUCGGAUGUGCCCAGAUGGGAUGAGCUAGUAGGUGGGGUAACGGCUCACCUAGGCGACGAUCCCUAGCUGGUCUGAGAGGAUGACCAGACACACAGGAACGGAAAAACGGUCCAGACUCCGACGUGAGGAAGCAGUUGGGAAUAUUGCACAAUCGGCGCAAGCCUGAUGCAACCAUGCCGCGUGUAUGCAGAAGGCCGUCGGGUUGGAAAGUACUUUCAACGUGGAUGCGUUACUCGCAGAAGAAGCACCGGCGAACUCCGUGCCAGCCGCCGCGGUAAUUC